AUCACGGACCGGGCCCUCUAUCCUUCUGCGCCCUGGAUCGCCGGCCGAAGAAGGGACGGUGAGAUCAGGAAAUUCUGCGUAGGCGCCGGAGGUCUGGGUCCGGUCGGAACCCGGUCCAUUUCAGAGAACAACCGAAAAUCUGUAGUAGUUGGAGGAGGGUAAAUCGGAACUACAAAUCCCACAAUGCCGAGCGUCCCGAGUGACUCGCCGGCGCGCUGAAUCCGGAUGUUUUAAAUCUAGGUGCUCGUUUGACUACUCUGAGUAGUAGAGCAAAAUUGCUUGUUUGCCUUACGCCACGAUUUGUUUGCCCAUUUUCUGCUUGAUUCUGGAGAGUCUCCCAAGAUUUUCAUCAGUUAAUUGUUUUUUUUUUCAUUUAAGAUGACUGAAUCUGAAGCCAAAGUGGGAACUUUUAAUGAACUUGCCUUCACCUCAAGCUACCCCCUAUAAUACCAGAUUUUGCAGAAUGAUCGGGUGCCCAUUCUCCCCUAACGUGACCACUGUUUGCCCGAGGUUUGGCGCAGAAGGUCUAAGGUGAAGCAGAAAAUGCCUUUAAUUAUUUAAAAGGUCUUACGGUAGCUCGGGCUAGCCUAAAACUCGUGGUUCCUUGCUCCAGUCUCUGAACUCUGAAAUUACAGGUGAGAAUAUAUAUUUUUAGCCAAACCCCGAUGGUGUAGGUAGGAGUCUCACUACAUUGCAUUGAGAUUGUCAGUCUACAUUGUAGUAAAGUUAGCUUUCCGUAUUGUAGCACGGCAUCCAUCACACCACAAACCUUUGUUAAGUUGCCAAAUCCAAUUUGUGUGUUUUUCUUCACUCUUCUUAAAACUUUCAUUCUAGGCUUGAAA
rnacentral:lncRNA from 1 species